AGCUUUGAGCAGUGGCAGUAUCGUAGCCAAUGAGGUUUAGCCGAGGUGCGAUUAUUGCUAAUUGAAAAGAGACUAUUCCUUUCACUAGCAAAUUUACUCUUAUAUCCUACUUACUGCAGUUUGAGUUCCAACUAGUUGA
ensembl:snRNA U4 U4 spliceosomal RNA